rnacentral:rRNA from 1 species
AUUGAACGCUGGCGGCAGGCCUAACACAUGCAAGUCGAACGGUAACAGGAAGCAGCUUGCUGCUUUGCUGACGAGUGGCGGACGGGUGAGUAAUGUCUGGGAAACUGCCCGAUGGAGGGGGAUAACUACUGGAAACGGUAGCUAAUACCGCAUAACGUCGCAAGACCAAAGAGGGGGACCUUCGGGCCUCUUGCCAUCGGAUGUGCCCAGAUGGGAUUAGCUUGUUGGUGAGGUAACGGCUCACCAAGGCGACGAUCCCUAGCUGGGCUGAGAGGAUGACCAGCCACACGGGAACUGAGCAACGGCCCAGACUCCAACGGGAGGCAGCGGUGGGGAAUAUUGCACAAUGGGCGCAAGCCUGAUGCAGCCAUGCCGCGUGUAUGAAGAAGGCCUUCGGGUUGUAAAGUACUUUCAGCGGGGAGGAAGGUGUUGUGGUUAAUAACCGCAGCAAUUGACGUUACCCGCAGAAGAAGCACCGGCUAACUCCGUGCCAGCAGCCGCGGUAA